rnacentral:sRNA from 1 species
GAUUAUUAAAAGUAGAAGCGAAAAGUCACCCAUAGUCCUUUUGCCUGAAAUAACUCCCAUUAACAUUUUGAUGUAUUUCUUCACAGAUGAGAAAAAAUUAAUUUUAAGAACUUUUCCCCCUUCCCUGCCUUAUAAUCCAAAUUGUAUGGGCAAAUCUGAGAUUAUUAGAUGCAUUGGAAAUACUUUCUCUUUAGUAGAUAAAAAACAGGGGUAGGCAGAAUUUUAAAAAUAGAUAUAUUAUGGGAUGGCUAUUCUCUAUAGAAGGAGUCAUGGCAGUUUUUUUUUUUCUUAAAUGAAAAGUACUUUUAUAGAAAUUGCUCGAAAAUAUUCAGCAAAUAAUUGUUUAUUGCUUUCUAUGUGCAGAUCAAGUUUGUAUGAUAAUUAAAUUGUUGAUGACUUAUACCUACGAUUUUAAGAAUAUUUUCAACCCUUUGUUUGGUCAGAUUGUCUCCAAUUAGCAUAAUAGCAAAGAGACUUUUCAAGGUUAAUAUGAAACUUUUUCUCAGCUAUUUUUUUAUUAUCUAUUUCUCAGGGGAAAAAGGAAACUUAUCCUCUUAGGCAGUUUCCAUAAUGUUAUACAUUUAAAAAUUAAUCUGAAGGAGCUUAAAAUAUAAAUGCAUUAGGUGAAAAAUAGCAAUUGAUUUAAAUAAAAUGAAGGAGGAGAAGAAAAAGAACCUUACCGACACAAAAUAGAACGAGAUUGGUUUGCAGAUGGCGAGCGAUGUUGCUUCUGCUCACAGUCCCCAUUUCUGUGUAUGCCGGGGCGGGUUGGGGUGUGUAUUUGAAAGGAAAGUUGGCUUUCUUUUUUCAGAAGGGAAGAGCUGAAGAGAGGAACCUCUUAUGAAGGAACCAUAAUCAGGAACUUCUUGAAAUUGUGCAAGGAUGGCUUCACCAUUUAACGUUGAGAUUUUGGCCUGGAGCACAUUUAGAAAUGUGCGUAUCAUUUUUUUUUUUUUUCAUGGAUUUUACAGUCCUCAUAGGUGUUAGAUGUUUUUGGGUGAGAUUUUGAUUUACACCUAUCACAUAUUCCCAGGAAGAAGGAGUAUUGUUUGGCAGAUAAUUCAUACUUGGAUUUUUCAGAACAGUUCAGCCACUGUCCAGGGUACCUGCUGUGGGUGCCACUCUGGGCCAGUAACUGCUGGGAACAAAGAAACAGCAGAAGGAGAAGUGGCUUUGUGUAGAGACGAGAAAAGUUAGUAAACAACACAUUCUAGUGCAGCGAAUAAAUAAAUUGUCUGUUAUUAACUUUUUGUACUCCAGUUUUGAAUCAUCCAAAGACACCUGCUUUCCCCCAUUUUUUGACAGGGUCUCUAUCACCCAGGCUGGAGUGCAGUGGCAAGAUUGCAGCUCAUUGCAGCCUCAGCUUCCUGAGUAGCUGGGACUACAGGCAUGCACCACCACCCCUGGCUAAUUUUUUAUUUUUUUGUAGAUUCUAUGUUGUCUAGGCUAGUCCUGGCCUCAAGCGAUCCCCCUGACUUGGCCUCCCAUAGUGUUAGGAUUACAGGUGUGAGCCACCAUGCCUGGCCCAAAGACACCCUUUUAAUGUGUCGAGAAACAAAUAUGUGAGCCCUCUGUCCUCUGUGUUCUCUCCCCCAGCACUUAGUGGUGAUUCAGUAAGGGUCUUCUUUGUAAAGCAGCAGAAACAGACUCAGGCUGACUUAAAAGGAAAUUUAUGCAAGCAUUUGAAGGUAGCUCCUAGAGUCACUGGGAGGGCUAGUGAAUCUUGUGUGGGGUCCACAGCCAGGAAGAAUGCCUCAAAUCACACCGUAAACAGGUCUGAAGAGGAUGCUGCUGCCACUACCAAACACUAGGUGCCAUCAGCCCUGUUGUCAGCAUCCCUCAACCACUGUCCCAGCCCCUUGGUCUCAUUGCCAUUGCUCCACCCCCAGAGAAGGAGAAGCUCACAUCCCCACUACUCUGGGUCACUGGCUCUCCAUUCCAGGGCAUGGGCAAGUGUUCCUGGCUCAGGCUGCGUGCCAGUGCCUCAGCUGCACGGCAGACCAGGAAAGCGGCUCCCAGGCCUUGCCUCUCUCCCAGACUCUGGGCAGGCAAUUCCCCAGACAUGGGAAGAGCAUCAUCUGCACCACUGAAAAUUAUGAAAAAUCUCCCCACCAUGAUAUGAUGUCUGUGCCCUUGGCAUCUGCUUAUGAUAUAUUUUCUUAUUAACAGAAAGUUAUUCUCAAUCUGGUUUUUUUUUUUUGGAGACAGAGUCUCGCUCUGUCACCCAGGCUGGAGUGCAGUGGCGCUAUGUUGGCUUACUGCAAGCUCCACCUCCUGGGUUCACACCAUUCUUCUGCCUCAGCCUCCCAAGUAGCUGGGACUACAGGUGCAUGUUGCCAUGCCCGGCUAAUUUUUUUGUAUUUUUUUUUUUAGUAGAGACGGGGUUUCACUGUGUUAGUCAGGAUGGUCUUGAUCUCCUGACCUCGUGAUCCGCCCGCCUCGGCCUCCCAAAGUGCUGGGAUUACAGGUGUGAGCCACCAUGCCCGGCCUCAGUCUGGUUUUAACACUUCAACAGAUGUAUGUAGUUUUUGUAUCACCAUAGCACCUAAAAAGUACCCCCAAAGUUAAAUAUACUGUCAUCUCUGUGUGUUUGUCUGUAGUCAGUGCCAGGUUUGUAUGUGAAUUUGAGGACCUUCCCUAGUCCCCUUGUCCCCCAGGCAUCUCCUGCUCAUAAGUUUGGAAAUGACUGAUAGAGGCUUCAUCUCUAAUCCAAGAAAUGCCAGACUGUGUAUCCAUCCUACUGUUCCACCUCUCUCUGGUCCUGGAGCUUAAUGUUUAUAAAAUUGUUCUGAAAAGGCAAAGAAUGAGUCAACUUCCCUUGAAAAACUCCCCAAUGAUCUGUUUUUCUAAAUUAAAAUCCUUCAUGAGCCUGUUUUUAUUUUCAGCCUAAUAAAUCUCUCUAGGUAGUAAGUUGCAUAAGUUUACUACACCAGUGGUAUUUUCUUGCAUUUGUCCAAAACUGUCUUUCAAAUAUUACAUGUUACUCUGUGUUUCAGUAUUCCAGCAUUUAAUGACCAGUUUUCCAAACUCAUUAACCAUUACACCCCGCAGUCAGUCUAUUGGCAGAUACUACCCGAAACUGUCAGAGAAGAUAACAGUGUGGGCCUUGGAUCCAGACAAACCUGGGCUUACAUUUCCGUACUGACACUCAUUAACCUUGCAAGUGUGGGCAAGUUCUUCAGCCCUUCUGAGUCUGUUCUUUAUCUGCCCACCUGUCUCAAAGAGUACCUGGGAAGUACAAAAGAGGUAACUCAUGAAGCCCUCCGGCCUGGAACAUAUCAAGUCCUUGGUAGAUAUGGCUCCUCCCUGCUUUCCUCUUUAAAUCACUUGUUUGUUCAAGAAUUUAACUGAAUGUUCUUAUUUGUAUUAGUAGGUGGCAAGUGGGAGAAACCAUCAGAAAUUUUGGAAAUCAAGGGACAGAACUGGGAAGAACAAGUGAAUAGUCUGCCUGAAGUUUUCAGAAAAGCCGGUUUUGUUAUUGAAGCUUUCACCAGACUGCCAUACCUGUGUGAAGGCGACAUGUAUAAUGACUACUACGUUCUGGAUGAUGCUGUCUUUGUUCUCAAACCAGUAUAAACAUGUGGAGGUCGAAGUCUUCAGAGUCCGCGCCCUCCGGGAUGUGCCCUUGGAAGAGAGUCUGUGUUCACAAUUACGUGAAGGGAGGACCCUUGGGGACCACCAUUCUAAAUAUCAUGUAGGAAUUUAAAAAGCCAAAAUACUAAUUAUUUCUUUGUAGUGUGUAAAGGAAUGUUUUUAAAAGACAAAAACCCAACUCUUUGUGGAUUUUUAUCAACUCUUUACUCAGAGCCACUCUCCAAUGCAGGUCACACUCCAAUUAUGAUGGAAGAUAUUUUUUAUACUUAAUUGCAGUAGGGACUCAUUCCCAGACAAAGCAAUAGUCACGACUUCAUGGAACCAAUCAAUGGAUUGUUUUUUGAAGACUGGCAAUAAAGCUGUCCAUUCAAUUCCAAAUACUGGUUUUAAGGUAUAGCCGCUGAUAUUCUUUCAUGUUUAGAAAUUCUUUCUGUUAUUAUUCAAGAAAAUGUUUUUAAUCAUGCUAAUAAACUUUUUUGGAGAUGACUUUGGCAUCAUGUUUGAAUUCAUAUAAGGCUCCCCUAGCAUUUUUUAUUGGUUUUGCCUUCAGGAGUACCCAAAUAGUAGCAUUAUGUGAAUGAUGCAGACAAUUUGAAUAGGUAGGAAGGAAGGCUUCAGACUGGGGGGAAGGGGAGAUGAUUGCAAAUUGCAGUGAACACUGAGGCAGUAAAAAAAAAAAAAAAAAACCCCAGCCUCAUUCAGAUAUAGAACUUCAGGGACCCCCCUCCACCCAGUUAAUGCUGCUGUGAAAAAUGCAAAAUAACCUGGUUCUGACUUUGUGAUCACUCAUGUCCCAUACACUGAACUUUGUUUUUUUCUGGACAAUCUCAGGUUCUCAGAAUUGAAACAUUCAGUUUUGUCUACUGACAAAAUGCAACUAAAAAUGUUUUAAUUCAACUUCUUACUCUACACUUAUAUACCUCUCUCCCAGAGCUUGGCUCUUCCCUGAAAUCCUUAAAGGAGUUUAUUAUUUGCCAAGAAUAUGGUUUGUUGAAGACCGUGUCAGACUCAUGCAUUCUGGAAUCCGUGAGUGCCUCCAACCAUAAACCCAGAAAUGCUGCAAUAGAGGAACCCAUUAGCAAGAUCAGUAACCAUCGUGGAUAUUCCAAAGAGCAGAGCACUUAACCCAGAAUCUGAAAUCUCAGUAAUAACAGAAAUGUCGAUAUGAGAUUGUGGUUAUUAACAAUAUGUUAUUCUCACAACUUUAUUUCUUUUUUCAUCCAGGUGUUUCAUUAAGUAUUCUCAUUUAUGUGCUCAUAGAAGUCAUCAGAUCAACACAUUCACUCCAACACCUGGGUAUAAAGGCGAAUUAAAACCUGAAGAAUUACUUUAUUAUUCAUUAAGAACUGCAUUCCCACAUCCUCACACCAAUAUCUUCCACUGUUAUUGUGCAGUCAUAAUAAGAGUUGGGUUAUGUGAUUUAUGCAAAAUUGUUAUUGGUGUGUUCUAAUGAUUUUUUUCCAGGAAUUCAAGUAAGUGAAGUACAAAUACUUAGCACCAUAGAUUGUAAAAAUAGAAAGAGGAAAUGAGAAAACUUAAUGUCGUUCUUGUACAGUUGAGUUUUGCUUCUUUAUAAACUGUCUGUCAAAAUCAGGGGUUGCUGUUAGACUGUCAAGCAGAAGUGAUGGAUGUUCAAAGAGGCAGGUUGCCCCAAAGUGUUUUCUAACUUUCAAGUAGAGAAUUUUAUGGUCUAAUAAGAAAAAUACAACUCAUUCUUAACCACCCCCCAAAACAGAGAAAACACAUACAUUUAUGCAUUUUAAAGAUAAAAAGUACUUUCUCAAAAAAAUCGGAAGUUCUCUGAAAACCAGCUUAUUAAAAGUGCUGUUUUGUGGUGAAAAUUCAAACCAAAUCCACUCACAUUUCCUAUCGGGUCUUGAAAUUCUCGGUGGUGUGUCACCAUUCCACUAGAUGGCAGUGUUGCUUACUGAGUGUCAAUGGCUUUUUUCCCCGUAAAUGGAAUCAUGUUUUUCUCCCCCAAAGUACAAUAAAGCUGCCUUGUCUGCACCA